rnacentral:tRNA from 1 species
ACCUGUCUAGCUUAGUCAGUAGAGCACAAGGCUCUUAACCUUGUGGUUGUGGGUUCGAUCAACAUGGUGAGUG